rnacentral:rRNA from 1 species
GAUGAACGCUGGCGGCGUGCCUAAUACAUGCAAGUCGAACGAAACUUCUUUAUCACCGAGUGCUUGCACUCACCGAUAAAGAGUUGAGUGGCGAACGGGUGAGUAACACGUGGGCAACCUGCCCAAAAGAGGGGGAUAACACUUGGAAACAGGUGCUAAUACCGCAUAACCAUAGUUACCGCAUGGUAACUAUGUAAAAGGUGGCUAUACUACCGCUUUUGGAUGGGCCCGCGGCGCAUUAGCUAGUUGGUAGGGUAAAGGCUUACCAAGGCAAUGAUGCGUAGCCGAAUUGAGAGGUUGAUCGGCCACAUUGGGACUGAGACACGGCCCAAACUCCUACGGGAGGCAGCAGUAGGAAAUCUUCCACAAUGGGCGAAAGCCUGAUGGAGCAACGCCGCGUGGGUGAAGAAGGUCUUCGGAUCGUAAAACCCUGUUGUUAGAGAAGAAAGUGCGUGAGAGCAACUGUUCACGUUUCGACGGUAUCUAACCAGAAAGCCACGGCUAACUACGUG